AUUGAACGCUGGCGGCAGGCCUAACACAUGCACGUCGAACGAGUGGCGGACGGGUGAGUAAUUUCUGGGAAACUGCCUGAUGGAGGGGGAUAACUACUGGAAACGGUAGCUAAUACCGCAUACCAUCAGAUGUGCCCAGAUGGGAUUAGCUAGUUGGUGGGGUAACGGCUCACAAAGGCGACGAUCCCUAGCUGGGCUGAGAGGAUGACCAGCCACACUGGAACUGAGACACGGUCCAUACUCCUACGUGAGGCAGCAGUGGGGAAUAGUGCACAAUGGGCGAAAGCCUGAUGCAGCCAUGCCGCGUGGAUGAAGAAGGCCUUCGGGUUGUAAAGUACUUUCAGCGGGGAGGCGUUACCCGCAGAAGAAGCAACGGCUAACUCCGUGCCAGCAGCCGCGGUAAUUC
rnacentral:rRNA from 1 species